rnacentral:rRNA from 1 species
AUUGAACGCUGGCGGCAGGCCUAACACAUGCAAGUCGGACGGUAGCACAGAGAGCUUGCUCUUGGGUGACGAGUGGCGGACGGGUGAGUAAUGUCUGGGGAUCUGCCCGAUAGAGGGGGAUAACCACUGGAAACGGUGGCUAAUACCGCAUAACAUCGCAAGACCAAAGAGGGGGACCUUCGGGCCUCUCACUAUCGGAUGAACCCAGAUGGGAUUAGCUAGUAGGCGGGGUAAUGGCCCACCUAGGCGACGAUCCCUAGCUGGUCUGAGAGGAUGACCAGCCACACUGGAACUGAGACACGGUCCGGACGCCUACGGGAGGCAGCAGUGGGGAAUAUUGCACAAUGGGCGCAAGCCUGAUGCAGCCAUGCCGCGUGUAUGAAGAAGGCCUUCGGGUUGUAGAGUACUUUCAGCGGGGAGGAAGGCGACGCGGUUAAUAACCGCGUCGAUUGACGUUACCCGCAGAAGAAGCACCGGCUAACUCCGUGCCAGCAGCCGCCGUAA